rnacentral:rRNA from 1 species
CCUACGGGGGGCAGCAGUGGGGAAUAUUGGGCAAUGGGCGCAAGCCUGACCCAGCAACGCCGCGUGAAGGAAGAAGGCUUUCGGGUUGUAACCUUCUUUUUUCAGGGAAGCAUAGAAGACGGUACCUGACGAAUAAGCCACGGCUAACUACGUGCCCGCAGCCGCGGUCAUACGUAGGUGGCCAGCGUUGUCCGGAUUUACUGGGUGUAAAGGGCGUGUAGCCGGGUUGACAAGUCAGAUGUGAAAUCCUGCGGCUUAACCGCAGAACUGCAGUUGAAACUGGUGAUCUUGAGUACUGGAGAGGCAGGUGGAAUUCCUAGUGUAGCGGUGAAAUGCGUAGAUAUUAGGAGGAACACCAGUGGCGAAGGCGGUCUGCUGGACAGCAACUGACGGUGAGGCGCGAAAGCGUGGGGAGCAAACAGGAUUAGAUACCCCUGUAGUC